rnacentral:rRNA from 1 species
UCCUGUCUGAAUAUGGGGGGACCAUCCUCCAAGGCUAAAUACUCCUGACUGACCGAUAGUGAACCAGUACCGUGAGGGAAAGGCGAAAAGAACCCCGGCGAGGGGAGUGAAAAAGAACCUGAAACCGUGUACGUACAAGCAGUGGGAGCACGCUUAGGCGUGUGACUGCGUACCUUUUGUAUAAUGGGUCAGCGACUUAUAUUCUGUAGCAAGGUUAACCGAAUAGGGGAGCCGAAGGGAAACCGAGUCUUAACUGGGCGUUAAGUUGCAGGGUAUAGACCCGAAACCCGGUGAUCUAGCCAUGGGCAGGUUGAAGGUUGGGUAACACUAACUGGAGGACCGAACCGACUAAUGUUGAAAAAUUAGCGGAUGACUUGUGGCUGGGGGUGAAAGGCCAAUCAAACCGGGAGAUAGCUGGUUCUCCCCGAAAGCUAUUUAGGUAGCGCCUCGUGAAUUCAUCUCCGGGGGUAGAGCACUGUUUCGGCAAGGGGGUCAUCCCGACUUACCAACCCGAUGCAAACUGCGAAUACCGGAGAAUGUUAUCACGGGAGACACACGGCGGGUGCUAACGUCCGUCGUGAAGAGGGAAACAACCCAGACCGCCAGCUAAGGUCCCAAAGUCAUGGUUAAGUGGGAAACGAUGUGGGAAGGCCCAGACAGCCAGGAUGUUGGCUUAGAAGCAGCCAUCAUUUAAAGAAAGCGUAAUAGCUCACUGGUCGAGUCGGCCUGCGCGGAAGAUGUAACGGGGCUAAACCAUGCACCGAAGCUGCGGCAGCGACGCUUAUGCGUUGUUGGGUAGGGGAGCGUUCUGUAAGCCUGCGAAGGUGUGCUGUGAGGCAUGCUGGAGGUAUCAGAAGUGCGAAUGCUGACAUAAGUAACGAUAAAGCGGGUGAAAAGCCCGCUCGCCGGAAGACCAAGGGUUCCUGUCCAACGUUAAUCGGGGCAGGGUGAGUCGACCCCUAAGGCGAGGCCGAAAGGCGUAGUCGAUGGGAAACAGGUUAAUAUUCCUGUACUUGGUGUUACUGCGAAGGGGGGACGGAGAAGGCUAUGUUGGCCGGGCGACGGUUGUCCCGGUUUAAGCGUGUAGGCUGGUUUUCCAGGCAAAUCCGGAAAAUCAAGGCUGAGGCGUGAUGACGAGGCACUACGGUGCUGAAGCAACAAAUGCCCUGCUUCCAGGAAAAGCCUCUAAGCAUCAGGUAACAUCAAAUCGUACCCCAAACCGACACAGGUGGUCAGGUAGAGAAUACCAAGGCGCUUGAGAGAACUCGGGUGAAGGAACUAGGCAAAAUGGUGCCGUAACUUCGGGAGAA